GGCCUCGAACUCAGAAAUCUGCCUGCCUCUGCCUCCUGAGUGCUGGGAUUAAAGGCGUGUGCCACCAUGCCCGGCUAGGUAUGAUUUCUAAAUAGAUUAAGCUCACAAUUCGACUCUAGGAUUUGUGUUUAUGUUAGAUACAGCAAAUGUACAUGAGCACUGUUCUAUCUUUCCUGUCCGUUUCUUCAGUGUUCUCCCACAGAACACUGAAGUUCCCACAGUGUUCUCUCUCUCUGUGGGAGAACACUGAAGAAAAGUGUGAUUACAGAAACUUUUCAUUUUCAGUGAAAGAUGACAGCUGGAGAUAAUACAUUGUAUGAGUCACCUAACAAGGGAAAUACUUUUAGAACUGAACAACAAAGACAACAACUUAAAUUCCUUAAUAGGUUUUUCUGUUUUGUUUUGUAUUUUUAAGCUCACCUGUCCAGUUCCAGAUGUGCACUUAGUUGACAAUGAUCUCUGAAGAGGUGACUUUGAAUUUGCUCUUACAAUAUCUAAGCGAGAUGGAUAAUCUGAUAGAUACAGAGAAUUUCGGAAAACCUAUUGCAAUAUAAAACAACAUUUUAAAUUGAAUACUAAAUGAACAUCUAGGAAAUGGUACAAGCCUCAAGUGUGUGUCUCAAGUAGCCUUGAGAACAAAGCAUUAAGAAUCACGAUGUGAUAGACUUUUAAGAGUGGAUUCCCACCUGUGCUGAAAAAAGAGCUGUCAGACCCCUGGGAAGUUUCUUUACUAUAUUUCAGUUUUAAGGGAGGAAAUAAGUAUUUUUACUAAAGUUGAUGGACCAACUAGUAUAGUUAAAAUACAUAGAUCUGUGCAAAGCAAUGAUUACUAAAUAUUUGCUAUUUUAUAAUUGGCUUGUAAAAGUUCAGUUCAAUAAUCUUUUAUUAACACAUGGAAAUGAGUGAGAAUAAAAUACUAGCUUGAGUACUUGGAGCAGUCAUCUUUAACCAAGUAUAAUAGAAAAUCACAAAAGAGCAGUACUUUGGGUUACACAUGAUAAUACAGACCAUUACCAUAUAAACUGAAGCUAUAAAACAUCUGCACACUAACAACUGAGUGUAGAUCUAGGCCUACCUCUAGGUCUUCAUCCUCAUCAAUGUUUUGUAUAUUUUGGUAGGCAGCAGUGAAGACCUCUAAGGCUUUUCCAUGAAAUAACAUUUCAAUUGUGAUGAACUCAGAUAAUAUGUUCUGAAAAACAAAAAGAUUGGAAUUUUAAAAAGUGUUUUUUAAAAGUUUGUAUGUAUUUAAGAGCCACAGAGUUUUAUUCUCCAUUAUAUAGUAUAGUCUUAGUAUUCUGUACUACUAAGACCUGGUUUUUGGACAGGAGAAAACAUAACUGAAAUAAAGGCUUUCUACAGCAAAAUACUUAAAUUGUGCAAAGUGUUGCUAUACUCACUAUUCACUGUUUCUUUUUUUAAAAUUACUUGUAUGAAGAUAACUAAAUUGUACACAACUAUAUAAACCAGUAUUACAUGCCUAUAAAUAUUUGUGUUAAAAAAUUUGAAACUGAUAAAAGACUCACUUCUGCAAAUAGACAUGAAAGUGACCAACAGUAUUUCUUACUUGAUGAUGAAGGUCACAGGGGACUCUGUGGUACUAGCAUGUACAACUGAUUAUCAUAAUGAAUAGCCCUAUGUUUAGAUACCAUUUGGAAUUUCAUAUUAACACUUCCAGAGAUGUACAGGGACACCUUAAGAGAGAUCGCAUGGCUUCUGCUAAGAGUAGGAGUUAAUUCCUUAAUUUUUAGUUUCCCUAAGAUAGGGUAAAAAAAAAAAAAUCCACAAAGGAAUGAUGUUAUUGUGCUACUAUAUAAGGACAUGAUCAGAUCAAUAAGACUAGAAAAAUGAAGCAUUUCAACAAAGUUGCCCACCAAAGUCAUUUGCAGGGUAUCCAAAAAGAAUGAACGUAAAAAUGAGCUUCACGUGCUUGUUAGAGUGAAGUGACCAAAUGAUUAGAGGAACGCUCAGAGACAGCACCAUUGAUCUGGCCAUGGAGAUUUAGCUGGGACUCUAAACCACAAGCUACACAAGAAACUGAAUAGAUCUCCCUAAAAUUGAAAUCAAAUGAACUAUCACAGCACCUAGAAAAUAACUUAGUUUUGCAUGCUUACAUUGGUCAAUCUCUUUUAUUACAUCAUUAAUCCUGUGAUAAGAUGCAGAAGUAGCACCAUAGUCCGUAAUAGGUAAGCUUCACAAACCAUCUCUGAGAAAUUUCUAUUCUGCACUUGAUAUCACCAGUGAAAUGCUUUCUAAAGAGGCAUCUGGUUAAUUAUGCAAAUAAUGGUUUGUGAUAAUUGGUCCAGUUUUACAAACAACAGAAUUUUAAAUAGGGGAAGUUAAUAAAGGAGACACCUCCCGUGCUGUGUGUUCUUUGAAAGUAAUUGAUAAACUACAAAUAAGUAGGAUGCCCUGUGCCUCAGCAGCAAUGCCCACCCAGAGCCCUUGGAGUUUUUGUCAUGCCCAGCUUUCUUGUUAGUAUUUGUAUGUUGGGAGCGAUCCUGUUUAACUGCCUUGUCAGCCAUAAGUGCUUACUUAACAAAGUCUUGGCCUUAGUGGAAAAGUACUAGCUUAUGUUGAGAUUUCUGUGGGAAAAGUUGAGGCCUCUGUAGGAAAGUACUACCCCCAGUUUAGAACAAAUAGCUAUAGAUCUUGUGGAUGGUUACCUAGUAACCCACUCAGUUCUGUUCCUCCUGCUGAACUUUUUACCUAGCCAAUAUCCUGCUUUUGGGAACAGGUGUGUUCCCCCAGAAACAAAGCGAUUCUGCAUCAUCCCUCUCCCCAUAUCCUGCUUCUAUGGGUAUAAAACCUGCCUGGGAAAAAUAAAAUUUGUCAGCUUGAUCAGUCA